AUUGCGGCUUUUUUAGAAGCCACAAAAAAAUGGGAGUCAUAUUGUUU
rfam:Ixodes scapularis strain Wikel colony gcontig_1108378962970, whole genome shotgun sequence.